AUGAAUGCUGACAUUUCAGGUAAAUCUCCACAAUUCACAGCCCAGAAUCAAAAUGAAAGUCCGAAGGUAAUGGUUCCCUUCAUGAACUCCAACGUAGAAGCGGAUCAUGCUGAAGUAAGAAAUUGGAAGGGUAAGAAGUCAUAUACCUUUUUGCAGGAUUUGAAUCUAUCUAGUAAGAAAAGACAAAUUAUUGGAGCUAUGUUUCAAGAUUCUGAGUCUUCACAGAAAAAGAAGAAACAAAAGAAAAAGAGGAACUUCAACUGA